CUAUAUUCUGAGGAAAAUGCUUACUGCUUGGAGGAUGACACAUUUGUGUGCUUCUCUUCAGCAUCCCGUUGGGUUUUGCACUUUAUCUUGAUGCCAUGGCUCAAGCUGGCAACACAAACAUCAUGUGGCAAUGUUGGUGGAGUCCACAAAUAGUAUGUUUUAUCCAGGCUCUGAUUCCAUUUCGACACUGCUACGCUACUAAGCUGUACUCUGGUGGACUUGGCCCUCUGCUGCUGCAAGUUGUUCGUGCUGUCCUUGGGUGGUACCUCAAGUGGUGCCUGAGCAAAACAAACAAGGUCUUAACAGAAUUUUAAAUAACAGAUUAAAGACCUCACCCCACACACUAUACUCUCUCCCUGCAGAGAGGGUAAAACAAAACAGAUUUGGAGCAGAGCUGUUUAUAGUCCUGAUAUGAGCAAGGGGUAAAGGAAAUAGAAAGGAGAUUCAACUGAUUUUCAUACAUUUUUUUCUUUUUUAAUGAUUAGCAAUGAUCCCACAUAAAAUGCUGCAUAUUGCUUUCUUGUAUUACUUAUUUUUGGAGGCCCAAAUAAGAAGGCAAGAAGAAAGGAAGGAAGGAAAUUGUAGCAGCUGAACCAAGUUGUUGAUCUGAAAUGAAGCAAAUAGAAGUCUUGCUGAAAAAAAAAUGUUCAUAUGUUGCAAGGGAUGACCAUGUACAAUCCAAUUUUCUGCAGCAUGUGAUUUCCCAUCGUGAGCCUUGAGCUUCUUCUGCAAACUAGAUUGUGUGGUCUACCACAUAGGACAAGGACUACACUGAUCAAACUCACCUCUCUUCUGGACUGCCCUGUGGAACAGGAAGGUCAUGUUUCUCAUGGUUGUCAUCACAGAUAUCCAUGUAUAAAAUGUUUUUGAAUCUGACUUCAUUUAGACUUUGCACUUUCAUUUUAACUUGUAUUGCAAAAACCAGCCCUGAACUCUCUAUUUCUUAUUAAUUAACUAUUGCUAAUUAUUUUCAAAUAUAAAGUUAUGUCAUAUAAUUGUGAUGAAUUAUUAUAAUAAAAGGAUUCCAGUUA